GACGAACGCUGGCGGCGUGCCUAAUACAUGCAAGUCGAACGCAUUUUCUUUCACCGUAGCUUGCUACACCGAAAGAAAAUGAGUGGCGAACGGGUGAGUAACACGUGGGUAACCUGCCCAUCAGCGGGGGAUAACACUUGGAAACAGGUGCUAAUACCGCAUAAUUCCAUUUACUGCAUGGUAGAUGGAUGAAAGGCGCUUUUGCGUCACUGAUGGAUGGACCCGCGGUGCAUUAGCUAGUUGGUGGGGUAACGGCCUACCAAGGCUGCGAUGCAUAGCCGACCUGGAAGGGUGAUCGGCCACACUGGGACUGAGACACGGCCCAGACUCCUACGGGAGGCAGCAGUAGGGAAUCUUCGGCAAUGGACGCAAGUCUGACCGAGCAACGCCGCGUGAGUGAAGAAGGUUUUCGGAUCGUAAAACUCUGUUGUUAGAAAAGAACAAGGAUGAGAGUGGAAAGUUCAUCCCUUGACGGUAUCUAACCAGAAAGCCACGGCUAACUACGUG
rnacentral:rRNA from 1 species